CUGGGUCCACCAUAUCUGCUCCAGCGUCACAGAGUAUUUUUACAUGUGUGUAUUGUCGCUAAAGUAAAGGACCUGAAUACUUCGCCCCGCUUUGUAAGCAGCCAGUAGCAACUUUACGAGGAAAAAAAAAAAAACGUCUGGCAGUAUUGGCUGAGAUAACAGGGAAGCUUCCGUGAUACAACUUGUAAAGAUUUAUUUGACAAAAAGCUCAGAUAAAAAAACUGUUUUGUGGAAUAUUUUUUUUAUCGCUUUGACAACAGAACUGACAGCCCUCUCACCUCCUCAUUGUGCUAAGAUGGAGGCAGAAGUCUCAGAGGUGAAUAUCUCAAACGGGAGGAAAUACAUCACAACUGGCUGCAUGACUGGAUACGACUCGAGGUGGUGGGAGUGCACCUCAAGGCUUGUUGCCACAUGCCUUAAAACAAAAAAAGAAGAAGAAGAAGAUGCGUGCGUGCGUCCGAGUGGUUCUGACACUGUACUGAUGGCAGAUGUUACACCUAUGUCUUUUGUUCAUUAAUUCAUCUGGUUGCUUCUUCUUACUGUCACACAGACUCUCUCUUCGCCUCCUUAUACUUGUGUUACACGUGUAUUGUUUCAACAAAAAAAGAGACAAAAGCUGACAUUUCCCUGACAGCGUACAUAUACAAUAUAUUUCAGAUAAUUUAGAGAUUUUCCGAUAUUGUUACUCCUCUAACUCGCACCAAAACCAUCUAGAUAGAUAAAUUGCACUGCAGUUAAGAAGUAAAAUAUGCAUUUAUAUUUGGGGCAAACAGUCAAUUUAAAAGGCAAAAAUAGCUCAAACAAAAUAACUUAUAGGCCUAUAUUGUUGUUGAAAAAGGCCACCAUCCUGCCUUAUAAUUUAAAUCUUUGACGAUUCACACUGUCUCUAAGGUGGUGAAACACUGACUGUGUGCAUGCUGACUGCAGUGAGGGCGUCUGGCUGCUGUUCAUAAUUCAAGAAGGACUUUUUAGUGAUGAUGCUCUAAGUCAGACAGCAGCACCGACGAGGGGGAGUCAUCUUCUGCACAGCCCUCCCUUUAACUAAACCCCCCUCGCCCAGCCAUCCGCACCAUAACACCUCCCUCUCACUCUCCCUCCCCCCCACCAUCUCUCUUACUCCCUUUUCCCCACAGCACAGCUUCUCUUUCAUCUUACUUUCAUGUUUCUCUCUCUUUCCCUCACCCCCUGCCUUAAUUCUGUUGUCAUCUCCAUCCCCAUUUCCACCUCAGACCCUGCUUCAUCACUGCUUUCAUCCCCUCUUCAUCAUCGCUUCAGGAUCAUCCGUCUCUCUCCCCUGCUCUUCUCUCUUCAGUGCUCCUUCAGCCCCUCACCCUCCUCCACUUUCUUCCUCCUUCUUUCUCUAUAGGGGGCUUCAGGCUGCCAGUGUGCCUUGCUGCUAAGUGCACAUACACACAAACAUGCCCAAACAUGAACACAGGCGCACACCUCCCCAGGGUGCCUUGGACUUGGCUCCGUCCUGCUGUGGUACCGAUCUGCUCACCAAGGUGAGGGGGCGUCUGUCCAUGUUUCAUCACUCUGCCCACUCAGCUGAGAUGGUGAAGUUCUGGUUUGGGUGUGGUUAUUGCCAUAGAUGUAAAUUACUGGAUCGAUUAUAGUGCAAAAAUGUCUGAACAAUGAUUUUUAAUAACAGGUCAUAAUCUUUACCUAUCUUGAUAUUUUAUUUUUAUUUAAAUAAACGAGAACUUCCAAAUCUUAA